CCCCCCUCCUCUCCCCCCCCCCAUCUGUCCAAUGCCCAUCACAAAAAACCCAAGACGGAAUUUUCCAAAUCCAAAUUCCACGGCCACACGCGCAGCCACUCGGACGCUUUCCCCUCCCAAUUUUCCCUCCCCGCCGACUGGAGAUCUCGCCGCCUCCCUCCCCAACCGUACCCCACGCCGCGCUCUCCGACACCAAAUCCGCACCCCAGCUCAAUUCAAUUCAAACCCCACUUCUAUUCAAUAUACUCUUUCCACUGCGUGAUGAUUUUCAUGUAAAGUUCGAUUGGAUUUUCAAGUUAUCAAUUUGAAAUUUCCCUAGAAUGCCGGAAAAGCUGAGAUUAUGACAUUUUCCCGUGAAAAUUAUGAGGGCAGGUUCUUCCGACGAGCCCAAUUCUCCUUCCACCUCUGUGCCGCGCGUUCCUCAGCCCAAUCCGUGCAAGCACAGUGUUAGCAAUGUCCUUAGAUUGUUAGCACGGAGAGAGGUUUCUCCGCAAACGAAACAUUGGUCAAAGAAGUUAUGGGGGGAACCUCUGAAGUCUAAUUCCGAUUCUGUUGGCCCAAAGUUUGAAACAGCUAGAGAUGCUAGGCACAGCCUUGUCUCAUGGGUGGAGGCAGAGUCACUCCAGCAUUUGUCUUCCAAAUAUUGUCCGCUUGUGCCUCCUCCACGGUCAACUAUUGCAGCAGCCUUCAGCCCCGAUGGAAAGACACUAGCUUCAACUCACGGAGACCAUACUGUAAAGAUUAUUGAUUGCCGAACUGGGAUCUGCUUAAAGGUCUUGAGUGGUCACCGUAGGACACCAUGGGUGGUUAGAUUUCAUCCUUUGUAUCCAGACAUAUUGGCUAGUGGAAGUUUGGAUCAUGAAGUUCGCUUGUGGGAUGCAAACACGGCAGAGUGUAUAGGAUCUCGUGAUUUUUUGCGUCCCAUUGCAUCCAUAGCUUUCCAUGCCCAAGGUGAGCUGCUCGCUGUUGCGUCAGGUCAUAAGUUGUACAUAUGGCACUACAAUGGGAGAGGGGAGACAUCCUCACCAAGCAUAGUACUGAAGACACGACGUUCGCUCCGGGCUGUGCAUUUUCACCCGCAUGGAGCUCCUUUCCUUUUAACUGCUGAGGUCAAUGACAUGGACUCCUCAGAUUCCUCGAUGACACUUGCAACUUCUCCGGGUUAUUUGCGCUAUCCUCCACCUACUGUAUAUUUGGCAGAUGGUCAAUCUAGUGAUCGUUCCAGUUUGGAAGAUGGACUACCUCUUAUGUCUUUACCAUUUCUGAUAUGGCCUUCAUUUGCUAGAGAUAAUGGGAGAAUAUCUAUGCAGCGUAGUGAUGCAGACAUUGGUUCAAGUAGUGUGCAACAGAGAGUUGAUCCUUCUGCUUCAGUGCGGUUGCUAACAUAUUCAACUCCUUCAGGGCAGUAUGAACUUCUGCUGUCCCCAAUUGAACCUAGUAGCUCUUCUCCAGCACCAGAAGAGACAGAAACUAAUACUUUCUUGAGUGAAAUGGAAACUGAAGUUUCUCAACCUGCAAUGGACAGUUUAGAGGCUUUGGAAGUGCAACCUGAAGGGAGGAGCAAUCAUAUUUUCCCAUUUGGUGACUCAACAUAUUGGGAACUUCCUUUUUUGCAAGGGUGGUUAAUUGGUCAGACCCAAGCUAGCCAACGGAAUAUGCGGCUGGUAGGUGAUGCUACACAAGAUAAUCCAUCUGCACGUGGUGAGAUGGAUAAUCCAGCCAUAACUUCCUCGGUAAUACCAACCAGUGUGAGCCAAUCCAGGCUUACUGGAAGAUCUAGUUCCCGGCAUCGUACUUCACGAACUCAUAUGGUGUCGACAAUUGGAUCUAAUGAAGUUGCUGGAUUCUAUAGUUUUGCGCAUGCUGAAAGUGAGCCUCAACCAGUUGUGAGUAGAAUCCAAUCUGAACUUGCCAACUCACUUGCUGCAGCAGCAGCUGCAGAGUUGCCUUGCACUGUAAAGCUCAGAAUUUGGCCACAUGAUUUGAAAAGUCCUUGUUCUCCCCUUGAUGCAGAAAGAUGUCGCUUAACCAUUCCACAUGCUGUACUUUGUAGUGAGAUGGGUGCCCAUUUUUCCCCUUGCGGAAGGUUUUUAGCUGCUUGUGUUGCAUGUAUGUUGCCCCAUAUGGAAGCUGAUCCUGGAUUGCAGAGCCAGGUCAACCAUGACGCGACAGGGGCAUCAACGUCCCCAACUCGACAUCCAAUUUCAGCACACCAUGUUGUGUAUGAGCUCCGGAUAUAUUCCCUUGAGGAAGCAACAUUUGGAAUGGUUCUUGCAUCCCGGGCAAUAAGAGCUGCCCACUGCUUAACAUCUAUUCAGUUCUCUCCUACGUCAGAGCAUAUAUUACUUGCCUAUGGCCGUCGUCACAGUUCACUUCUUAAGAGUGUUGUCAUUGAUGGAGAGACAACAGUGCCUAUUUACACCAUUCUGGAGGUCUACAGAGUUUCUGAUAUGGAACUUGUGAGAGUUCUUCCUAGUGCAGAGGAUGAGGUCAACGUAGCUUCCUUUCAUCCUUCAGUUGGAGGUGGCCUUGUCUAUGGAACCAAGGAAGGGAAGUUAAGGAUCCUCCAAUAUGAUAGUUCUCAUUGCAUGAAUCAGACAACAUCUGCUUUUCUUGAUGAAAACAUGCUUGAGGUCCCGACAUAUGCCUUGGAAUGCUAGGAACUAGCCAUCAUUUUCCACUUGUGGGACGAACCACUCAGCUUAGCAGGAUGGACAACGUUCAGAGUAUGACGCCUUUAAUAUUACACUUAUUUUCUAGAGGUUUUGGUGGUGGGUUGAGGUUUUUCUUGAGUAUGGAUUCCUCCUUUUUAGUUGUAAAUAAAAAUUAUAGGAGGCGCAUGGAUUGAAUAGGACGGGCAUAGAUUGAAUACACUUGAUGAAAUCACGGUGUAUCCGUGAAGCUGAACAUUGGGCCUGAAUUACGCAGAAUUUGUUUACGUAUAACAGUUAACCCUGUACCUGACUGUUGCUUCUUCAGUCAAAUGCCUGUGAAAUUCUCCAUUCAGAAUCGAAAAAUACAGCUUUGUAAUUUUUCUUUAUUGUAUUUUUAGAGUAUAUGUUGUUCAAAUUACUAGGGAAUUUAAUUUAACAAGGGAACAGAUAAGUUGGGAGCGAAAAACCGUGUUGUUGUAUACGCGUGUUUGGUUCCGUUGGACGUUGUUAGGAAUGUAAUUGAUUCUCUUUUUCUCUGUCUUGAACAAGGCAUUGUGUUUUUAGGCCCUUGUAUGUUGGCCUUAACUGUAAAAAAAAGGAAAAAAAAAAGCAGAGCAAAGUUUUUCUAAAU